GGCGAGCCCCCAGACCUGAGCCAGGACGUCCUGGACAAGUUCACUCAGUUUUCUCUGGAGCAAGGCAUUCUGUCUGAGAACAUCGCCAUCCUGCCUAAAAAUGAUGAGUGCCCUUGAUGUGAAGCUCUGUGAAUCCUGACUCAUUUAUUCUGACUGUAGUGAAUCUUUUAAGUGUUUCACUCUCUCACUAUCAGUGCUUUUACCUUCUUAAAGUUCUCUCCAUCCUUUCUUCUUAUUUCUUCACAAGACUGGACCCAAUAAAAUCUUUUGUGAAUCUC